GAUUGUCUCCACUCCCUGUAGGAUACACUGCCGCUGGGGAGGGAGACCGACUGUCUCCACUCCCUGUAACUCACCCUGCCGCUGGGGAGGGAGGAUGCUGCUCUCCUCUCACAGUGACCCUGAGGACGAUGCUCUCCUUUCACUGUGACUCUGUCUGCUGCAAAGUACACUGCUGCUGGGGGGUGAGACUGAUUGUCUCCACUCCCUGUAGAAUACACUGC